rnacentral:rRNA from 1 species
CCUACGGGAGGCAGCAGUAGGGAAUUUUCGGCAAUGGGGGGAACCCUGACCGAGCAACGCCGCGUGAACGAAGAAGUUAUUCGUAAUGUAAAGUUCUUUUAACAGGGAAGUAAGAGAAAUUUGACGGUACCUGAAGAAUAAGCUCCGGCUAACUACGUGCCAGCAGCCGCGGUAAUACGUAGGGAGCGAGCGUUAUCCGGAAUUAUUGGGCGUAAGGGGUGCGUAGAUGGCAUAGUAAGUCUUUUGUAAAAAUGCUAGGCUAAACCCAGUAGGGCAAAAGAUACUGCAAAGCUAGAGUAUGACAGAGGCAAGUGGAACUACAUGUGUAGCGGUAAAAUGCGUAAAUAUAUGUAAGAACACCAGUGGCGAAGGCGGCUUGCUGGGUCGAUACUGACAUUGAGGCACGAAAGCGUGGGGAGCAAACAGGAUUAGAUACCCCGGUAGUC